GAUGAACGCUGGCGGCGUGCUUAACACAUGCAAGUCGAACGAAGCACUUUAUUUGAUUUCCUUCGGGACUGAUUAUUUUGUGACUGAGUGGCGGACGGGUGAGUAACGCGUGGGUAACCUGCCUUGUACAGGGGGAUAACAGUUGGAAACGGCUGCUAAUACCGCAUAAGCGCACAGCAUCGCAUGAUGCAGUGUGAAAAACUCCGGUGGUAUAAGAUGGACCCGCGUUGGAUUAGCUAGUUGGUGAGGUAACGGCCCACCAAGGCGACGAUCCAUAGCCGACCUGAGAGGGGGACCGGCCACAUUGGGACUGAGACACGGCCCAAACUCCUACGGGAGGCAGCAGUGGGGAAUAUUGCACAAUGGGCGAAAGCCUGAUGCAGCGACGCCGCGUGAGCGAAGAAGUAUUUCGGUAUGUAAAGCUCUAUCAGCAGGGAAGAUAAUGACGUUACCUGACUAAGAAGCACCGGCUAAAUACGUG
rnacentral:rRNA from 1 species